rnacentral:lncRNA from 1 species
AUGAGACGCCGCAGUCUGGCUGGGAUGACCCGGAAGCGGAAGUUGUUGGACAAUGACCCGGAAGCUGAAGAUCCCGGAACCGAGAAAGAACCGGAACCGGAAUCGGAUCAAAGUGACCUGGAACAUUAUAGGGAGGAAGUGGGGCAGGAACCGGAACCAGAUCUGUUCCCAAACAGGAGCCGAAGUCCUUCAGCCCCACAGCGGAAACGACGGCGCCGUGACCCACAAGAACGGAACCGGACCCCAAAUCCACCCCAUAGAACUGAGGGGAAAAAGGGGGCGACCCCAAAGCAUCACCCUAUGGGGCAGAGGAAGAAGAAUGGGACCCCAAAUGCUCACCCUAUGGGGCAGAGAAAGAAGGGGGGGACCCCAAAGAAGAGGGGG